rnacentral:rRNA from 1 species
AACGUAGGACGCGAGCGUUAUCCGGAGUUACUGGGCGUAAAGCGCGGGCAGGCGGUGGCCUAAGUGGGAUGUGAAAGCGCCCGGCUAAACCGGGCGAGGCCAUUCCAAACUAGACUGCUGGAGGGCAGUAGAGGUGGGUAGAAUUCCGGGUGGAGUGGUGAAAUGCGUAGAGAUGUGGAGGAACACCGAUGGCGAAGGCAGCCCCCUGGGCUAACACUGACGCUCAUGCACGAAAGCGUGGGGAGCAAACAGG